GGCCACGGUGCUCGGGGGCGGGGUUUGGCUACUUGAUGGAUUGCGCAGUCGCAACCGGACCUGUUUCUCCUAUGUCCCACUAUCCACUGCUUCCGCAGGACGACAACUGGUCACUUUGGGCUUUCCACUUGUCUCCAGCAGAAAUCUGAGGAAACUAAGACGUGAGUGGUGGUCCCAGCCUUUAGGAGGAUCAUGAGUUCGAGACCAGCCUGGACUACAGAGACCCUGCCUCUAAACACACCACAUAUACCAAAAUAACAUGUUGGAGAAGCCAAAGAGCAGUUCCUUUUGCAAAGCCUGGGAAAGGCCCUAAAGUUCUGCCCUUUGCAGAUGGGGGAACGGGGCAGAGAGGAGGCUCCAGUCCCGGCUCUGGGGUCACAGGUAGACAGUUUGUUUUGUAGGAAUCACCAGUCCUGGGCUUUGAAUGCUGCAAAACGUGUAGCUGUGGCCUGCUGCCGCCUGCCACCUUGUUGCACAUAAAGGAUGGAAGAAGAGUGGUCUUCCUGGGACCCACAGUGGGCAGGAAGUCCAGCUGAUGGUCAGCUUCCAAGACUUGGCUGUCCAUCUAACCACUAGGGAGGACCUUCGGAGGAGCCACCACACAAGGAGGUGCACCCUAACUAGGAUACAGCCUUUCAAGUAGAUGCUUCUCUAUGCCCACCCCACCCAGCUAGAAACAGAGCCAUAGAUCAAUCUAAUGCUUUUAUUUGGACAGCUAGCACCCAUACCACUCUGUGCACAGGGUAUAGAGCUGCGUGACACCUCAGAGCAACUCCUGGCUCGUGGACAAGAAAAGCAGUCCCGCAAUUGCCCUGCAGGAGCACGUGGAGCUCAUAUCUCUUUUCUUCUCGUCUCCUGACUCCACCACCUUCCUUUUGGAAGGUGGUGCAGCUGCACCUGCCUGCGCAUAGCUGGCAGUCAGGUUGGGGAGUAUUAUACAGCAUGGCUGGAGACCGAAGACACCAGAAGACAAACAAAACAGCUACUGAGUGAAUAUCUGGCAGACUCUUCUGUGAAGCGGGAAUGCUGAAGGACCCCCUGCCUUGACAGAGUUCCACAGUUGUUCUCCUGUGCCCCACUGUCCUGUCUGUACAGGACAGUCAGCAGUCAAGGCAAGAGCAGUUUCCUGCCCAAAUGGCUAUCCUUGCCACAGUGAAAACAGACUCCAAAUGGAGUUUCUUCAGUGCCCAACAUCCUUUUAUAAAGUAAAUUGGUGCUGUCAGGAG